GGAUUAGUACGCUAGUCGUGCCUUCGGUACGUACUGGUGUUACUGAUUUCUACCUUCUGACGAACCAUCAUGUCAUUAAUUUGGUGUGGUGGGGAAUCAGGACUGUUACUUUGAAAAAAUUAGAGUGUUUAAAGCAGGCUCGCGCUUGAAUACAUUAGCAUGGAAUAAUGAAAUAGGACGUUGAUCCUAUUUUGUUGGUUUCUAGGAUUGACGUAAUGAUUAAUAGGGAUAGUUGGGGGCAUUAGUAUUCAAUUGUCAGAGGUGAAAUUCUUGGAUUUAUUGAAGACUAACUACUGCGAAAGCAUUUGCCAAGGAUGUUUUCAUUAAUCAAGAACGAAAGUUAGGGGAUCGAAGACGAUCAGAUACCGUCGUAGUCUUAACCAUAAACUAUGCCGACUAGGGAUCGGAUGAUGUUAUUUUUAAUGACUCAUUCGGCGCCUUACGGGAAACCAAAGUGUUUGGGUUCCGGGGGGAGUAUGGUCGCAAGGCUGAAACUUAAAGGAAUUGACGGAAGGGCACCACCAGGGGUGGAGCCUGCGGCUUAAUUUGACUCAACACGGGGAAACUCACCAGGUCCAGACAUAGUUAGGAUUGACAGAUUGAGAGC
rnacentral:rRNA from 1 species